CCUACGGGAGGCAGCAGUGGGGAAUAUUGCACAAUGGGCGCAAGCCUGAUGCAGCGACGCCGCGUGAGGGAUGACGGCCUUCGGGUUGUAAACCUCUUUCAGUAGGGAAGAAGCGAAAGUGACGGUACCUGCAGAAGAAGCGCCGGCUAACUACGUGCCAGCAGCCGCGGUAAUACGUAGGGCGCAAGCGUUAUCCGGAAUUAUUGGGCGUAAAGAGCUCGUAGGCGGUUUGUCGCGUCUGCCGUGAAAGUCCGGGGCUCAACUCCGGAUCUGCGGUGGGUACGGGCAGACUAGAGUGAUGUAGGGGAGACUGGAAUUCCUGGUGUAGCGGUGAAAUGCGCAGAUAUCAGGAGGAACACCGAUGGCGAAGGCAGGUCUCUGGGCAUUAACUGACGCUGAGGAGCGAAAGCAUGGGGAGCGAACAGGAUUAGAUACCCUGGUAGUCCAUGCCGUAAACGUUGGGCACUAGGUGUGGGGGACAUUCCACGUUUUCCGCGCCGUAGCUAACGCAUUAAGUGCCCCGCCUGGGGAGUACGGCCGCAAGGCUAAAACUCAAAGGAAUUGACGGCUGAGACGNGCCGAGGACGACGACGAGGGAGGAGG
rnacentral:rRNA from 1 species